rnacentral:rRNA from 1 species
AUGGUGGCUGAUGAAAGCGGGCGAGGGCGUGUUUAUGGACUGGACAUCCAAGAGUCCGCGAUAGAUAGCACUUCCUCUUUUCUGAAAAUGGCCGUCGACAGCCAUGAGAGGGAGCUAGUCAAAUUGUUUUGCAUAUGUCACAGUAGAAUGGAGGAUAUUAUUCCGAAAGAUUCUACUGUCAGGCUUGUAGCAUUCAAUCUGGGCUACCUUCCAGGAGGAGAUAAAAAAAUAAUCACAGUACCUGAGACAACUGAGCUGGCACUACAAGCUGCCAGCAGAAUUGUUGGCUCAGGGGGGCUCAUAAGUGUCCUUGUCUACACUGGGCAUCGGGGUGGAAGGGAUGAACUCGAUAUUGUUGAAUCAUUUGCGUCAAGCUUGCCUGCUGAUACAUGGGUGAGCUGCAAGUUUGAAAUGAUUAACAGGCCAGUUGCUCCAGUACUAGUUCUCCUGCACAAGAAAUGA